GGCAUUCUGCUGUACAAUGCCACAGAUCUUCUUUAGGUUGUAACCAAGCUUAUAAGCCAUUGAUGGAAGGGUGUAGGUUUUCUUUUCUGAGUCAUAACCUGCUAAUAUUUUCACAGCAGACACCACAUGAUGGAAGUUGGAGGGGUCAAAGAAAUCUUCCAGACUCUGCAUAGGGGUGGACUUUUGGGCCUCUAGCACAAGUCUUCCCACAGCUCGAAGUUGUUGUCUUAUAUAUUCAUUCUUGUUAAUGCUGCGAACAACGCCAUUAGCUAAGUGCUCUCCAAACUGCAGAAUUAAUCGGUCUUCCAUCACAGUUUCUGUCACCUCAUCAUAUACCAUCUCACCUAUGAUGUUCUUCAACUCCUCACUUAGGUCACCACAGUUUUUUGUUAGAAGUACACARUUCGAUAUGACUCUUUUURUCCCAUUUGAUUUAUCUUCCCUCUUUCCAUUGGA